rnacentral:lncRNA from 1 species
CCGGAAAUUCACCGAUGAGUACUGCAGUGACUUGUGCAGCGAGACUGUUAUUUCACGCUAUGAGUGAGAACCUUGUAAUGCGCAAAAUAUUAAUGUACUAGAAAUACACGCAUGCAUGCAGAAAGUCCUCGCCUAUAUUUUCCAAACAUUAAUUUGAAUUAACAUGAAGUAUUUGUCAUUGGCUAAAACUGAAUGAAUCAACUGUCAAACAUGGCCAUGUGUCCGCAAUUAUUGAUAAACCUAUUGAUAAACUUUAGACUCCGCUAAUGCUUUCCUAUUCCUGGUGUAAACAGCCGAGGGAAUUAGUACCCUCGCUCCAGGCAUCCGCCCGGACUCGUGGAUAAUUGUCAUGCGUGACUUCCCAGUUCAUGUUAACAACUCUAACUUGCAUUGUUAAAUGAAGAUUAUAUAAUUAAACUAAAUACUAGAAAUAUAUUCAUGCC